AGGGUGGGGGUGUUCACCCAUUAAAAGGGAUCGUGAGCUGGGUUCACAACGCUGUGAGGCAGUUGGUUUGAUAUCUGCUGGAAAUGUUGGGUGUCUGAAAGGAAGGAUCUUUUAGUACGAGAGGAACGAGGGUUCGUGGCCUCUGGUCUACCGGUUAUCUGGUAAGGUAUGCCGGGCAGCUACGCCAUAAGCGUUAAGUGCUGAACGCAUCUAAGCACGAAGCGUACCUUGAAAAUAGACACCCUAGGACAUCGCAAGAACAGCGGUUUGAUAGAAGCGGUGUGUAAGCAGGAAGGCAACGACCUGUUCAGCAUGCGCUUACUAACGUCCGUAUCUUGUGUUUU
rnacentral:rRNA from 1 species